rnacentral:rRNA from 1 species
GCAGUAGCCGCGGUAAUACGAAGGGGGCUAGCGUUGUUCGGAUUUACUGGGCGUAAAGGGCGCGUAGGCGGGCUGAUAAGUCAGGGGUGAAAUCCCAAGGCUCAACCUUGGAACUGCCUUUGAUACUGUUUGUCUUGAGUUCGAGAGAGGUAAGUGGAACUGCGAGUGUAGAGGUGAAAUUCGUAGAUAUUCGCAAGAACACCAGUGGCGAAGGCGGCUUACUGGCUCGAAACUGACGCUGAGGCGCGAAAGCGUGGGAAGCAAACAGGAUUAGAUACCCGUGUAGUCCCUGUCUCUUAUAC